AUACCAUGGUCAGUAGUGAAUGCUGCUGAGAAAACUAAGACCAGAAGCAACACAUCCACUCCCCUCAACUGGGUCAUGACAAAGGUCAUCCAUUGGAGUGAGACGGACCAUCCAUCUUAUGCUUGGAUUGGAAUCCCAGUAUAAGAAGUAACUAGGCCCUGCUAACAGACAGCACUUAUCUGAAGUAGCUCCUUAUUGCCUGCAGCUGACUGGAAGUAACUUUCUAUCCCAACUUGCUGUGUCAGGAGCAGAAGAAAAGAAACAGAAGAAUCCUGAAUCUGCUCUUGUCGGUGGGUUUUCAGUGCCAUUUGCCCUUCCCCCCCCAACAUGGACUCAUCAUGUACACCAUUUAAAGUCAUUGUUCUUUCCAUCGC